rnacentral:rRNA from 1 species
CAGUCGCCACGGUAAUACGUAGGGUGCAAGCGUUAAUCGGAAUUACUGGGCGUAAAGCGUGCGCAGGCGGUUAUAUAAGACAGAUGCGAAAUCCCCGGGCUCAACCUGGGAACUGCAUUUGUGACUGUAUAGCUAGAGUACGGCAGAGGGGGAUGGAAUUCCGCGUGUAGCAGUGAAAUGCGUAGAUAUGCGGAGGAACACCGAUGGCGAAGGCAAUCCCCUGGGCCUGUACUGACGCUCAUGCACGAAAGCGUGGGGAGCAAACAGGAUUAGAUACCCCCGUAGUCCCUGUCUCUUAUAC